ACACAUGUUAAUUUAAACAUUUAAAUUGUAUUGGUUUAUUAAAUAUGAUACACAAAGCAAUUUGCAGGUGGAAGCAAAUCACAAAUUUGAGAGGAACAUAAUGUGAAAGGACCCCAAGGCAACAUCUAGUAUAGCCUUGGGGUUUCUAAAAAUGCCAACACCGCCACCAUCUUGGUACAGGUGCCGGACUUCUGUGCUGCGUUUGGAUGUUCAGCUGAACGAGAUAUAAAAGCCAGACAGCAAGGGAUUACAUUUCACAAAAAUAUGACAGGAGAUUGUGGGACAUCAAGCUACUGUGCUACUGUGAAGGCUACACCACACCCUGCUGUGUGAUGACUGGCAGUGGAAUGACGGAGGAAUCUCUGCCUACAGAAACUGGGAGCGCAAUCAACCUCAACCACAAGAAAACUGUGCAGCAGUGAGAGGAGAGAGAUGGCACUCAGUCCCUUGCAGUAAUCAUCAAUUUGCUUUGUGCUACUACACUUCCAUCCAUGUGAGUGAAAAGGCUCUGAGCUGGGAGAAAGCGCAGGAUUACUGUGAUAAAGAGAACAGAACUGGAUUGUUGCAGAUUGAGUCAGAACAUGACCAGACUGAUGUGGAGAAUGAGCUCAGAAGGAGGCGUGUCUCUGAGCCUGUGUGGGUGGGGCUUAGACAGAGCCAGCUCUUCGGGUUCUGGAUUUGGCCUGAUGGGAAAGCUGUGUUUCCGUACUCCAACUGGGAUGAAGGGAAACAGCCUGAGCAUCAACUCUCUCAGCACUGCGGUGCCGUCGUUCCACAGAGCUACAGACGGAAAGACAUGAACUGUGAGGCACAGUAUAAAACUCUGUGUCACAUCAGAUGUUCUCCAUGAACCACUAUACAUAUAAAACUGUUUUUCUAAUGCA